CAGCCGCCGCGGUAAUACGAGGGGUGCAAGCGUUAUUCGGAUUGAUUGAGUGUAAAGGGUGUGCAGACGGCUUAUUAAGUCACUUGUUAAAUUCUUCGGCCUAACUGAAGGUCUGCAAGUGAUACUGAUGAGCUAGAGGGUGGAAGAGAGAAGUGGAAUUCUCGGAGUAGCGGUAAAAUGAGUAGAUCUCGAGAGGAACACCAAUGGCGAAGGCAGCUUCUUGGUCCAUUCCUGACGUUCAUACACGAAAGCGUGGGGAGCAAACAGGAUUAGAUACCCGGGUAGUCCCUGUCUCUUAUAC
rnacentral:rRNA from 1 species